CACGUAGGGUGCGAGCGUUGUCCGGAUUUAUUGGGCGUAAAGAGCGUGUAGGCGGCCCGGUAAGUCCGCUGUAAAAGUCAAAGGCUCAACCUUUGAAUGUCAGUGGAUACUGCCGGGCUAGAGUCCGGAAGAGGCGAGUGGAACUCCUGGUGUAGCGGUGGAAUGCGCAGAUAUCAGGAAGAACACCAACGGCGAAGGCAGCUCGCUGGGACGGUACUGACGCUGAGACGCGAAAGCGUGGGGAGCGAACAGG
rnacentral:rRNA from 1 species